rnacentral:rRNA from 1 species
GACGAACGCUGGCGGCGUGCUUAACACAUGCAAGUCGAACGGAAAGGCCCUGCUUUUGUGGGGUGCUCGAGUGGCGAACGGGUGAGUAACACGUGAGUAACCUGCCCUUGACUUUGGGAUAACUUCAGGAAACUGGGGCUAAUACCGGAUAGGAGCUCCUGCUGCAUGGUGGGGGUUGGAAAGUUUCGGCGGUUGGGGAUGGACUCGCGGCUUAUCAGCUUGUUGGUGGGGUAGUGGCUUACCAAGGCUUUGACGGGUAGCCGGCCUGAGAGGGUGACCGGCCACAUUGGGACUGAGAUACGGCCCAGACUCCUACGGGAGGCCGCAGUGGGGAAUAUUGCACAAUGGGCGGAAGCCUUAUGCAGCAACGCCGCGUGCGGGAUGACGGCCUUCGGGUUGUAAACCGCUUUCGCCUGUGACGAAGCGUGAGUGACGGUAAUGGGUAAAGAAGCACCGGCUAACUACGUG